rnacentral:rRNA from 1 species
GACGAACGCUGGCGGCGUGCUUAACACAUGCAAGUCGAACGAUGAACCCGAGAGCUUGCUCUUGGGGGAUUAGUGGCGAACGGGUGAGUAACACGUGAGUAACCUGCCCUUGACUCUGGGAUAAGCGUUGGAAACGACGUCUAAUACCGGAUAUGACCUAUGACGGCAUCGUCUGUAGGUGGAAAGAAUUUUGGUCAAGG